GCGGGCGGCGUGUUCCGAGUGGCGGAGUGUCGCGGGCGGCGUCGUGUCGCGGGUGGCGUGUCCCGGGUGGCGGAGUGUCGCGGGUGGCGUGUCCCGGGUGGCGGAGUGUCGCGGGCGGCGUGUCAUGGGUGGCGGCACCGGGGCUGGCACCCCGCGAGGUGUGGGGCAGAACGCGUCACUGCCCGCCCCUGAGCGCCAGCUGCGUGAGUGACACGCGUCACUGCCGAGGCACCGACCGCCCCGGUGGGGCCGCGAUAAGCCGGAUGCCGGAGGAAGCCCGCGGGAGGCCUCCUGCCCCGUGUCGCAGCCCUGUGGGUCACAGCGGUGCGAGGAAGGCUGCGCCGCUCACGGGCUUGAGACACUGCCGUCACCUGCCCUGCCUCAGGCCCGGGGCCUGCGUGGGCGCUUGGAGUUAUGGACUGGCUGGCAGCCUGAAACUCGUCCCGACUCGUGUCCCGCCGUGACCCGGGCACAGGCUCACUAAAAGAGCUUGGGUCAGAGUGCUGAGCACCGAGCUGCCUGCGAGCUUUGGCUUGCCUGGCGCUGGGUGGAAGCAGCUCACAAGCCUCUCGGGUGGAUCUCUCAAGGGGAUGCUUCUGCAUCAGCCCACCCUGAGCUCAGUUGAUGUUUUGAAGGUGCGUGGCAGUGAAAGGCAGAACUGUGCUCCUUCCAAACGGCAGCAGGGCAAAAGGAGCCAUGUGCAGACACCCUGCCGCUGCUCCCGCCGCUGCUCCGGGCUGGGCUUAACCGGUACACGGCACCACGAGCAGCUUCGAGGAGCCGAGACAGCCAAGCGACUCCUCGUAGCCAAAGUCUAGGACAGAUGGGAGAGAGGUGGCUGUGAGGAUAUCGCAACAGGGAGAUGGUGACAAAUGUUCACACACAAGUGUGACGAGGAAGCUGGAACUGUUUAAUUCAAGUUCGUGUUGCAAAACAUCAGCGGGCCGGGCCAGCGCUGCCCGCAGUGAGCCGCAGGCUGCAUGCUGGCUGUAGCGGUUGUAGCUCCGGCACAUCACCUCCCACUGUCUCAGACCUUGCUUUCCUCCCACAGUACCUUCCAGAAAAACCUGCUGCCACGGCAGAGAGGGACAGAUAGUCACAGUGAUAGCUUCGUUGCCAUCUCAAAGUGCCAAGAGACGAUAGAAAGCGUCCAGCCACUCACUUUGCACAGCAGCUUUAAGACUCAGAGCGUAUGAACAUGAUGUUCACAGCAUCAGCUUCCCCUCACCAGCCUCCUUCGUGAGGACACACAGGCUGCUCUCAGCAAAAGAUGACUCCACAGAUCACUGCAGCUGUGCCCCCUUCAGCUAAUGUGUGAGCCUUCAGCGUUAGCAUGCUUCUGUUGUCCUUGGUGCACCAGCUGGGGCUGUGAGAAGGCUUUUGCCGCAACUCUGCCACUUCACUGUUUCUUUACACAAAUGUAUGCAGAAAAAAAAGGGCAGAAUCCAGAAUUCUGUGUUUCCUUGUCAGUAGUCCAGGACCAGUAGCUCAGUAGGUGUGUUACUAAUAAUCUCAUAGGUGCAUUACUAAUACAGUGAUGAAACUCAGCUGAAGCCUGAGUCUGAGGCUGUUUUCGUCACAGGAUGUUUCUGAGAUAAGUAGGUUUGUGAAGUACUGUGGGAUGCUCCUCUGGAUUCUGCCAGGGGAAGACAAAGAACAGCAAUAAAAAGCUUUUUCCUUCCACUAUCCAUGUAACAGAGAUUUCCAAGCUCUCAUUUUACUUCCUGAUGUAACCUUCCCUGAUUCUGCAUAACAUCAUCUCAAACCACACUUAACAGGAGAUAAGGAUGAAGCCAGCCUAGUGGCUGUGAGCCUUGGGAAAGAGCCAGGCUGUGGCAGGAGGUUAUCCUGCCCUGAAGCAUAUCAGCUCUGAACACCCUUGGGUGCCUCCCUGCUACAUCUCAUAAAUAUCCCUGUGUUAGCUGAGCUGCCAAGAUCAAACCCCUGGAAAUUAGGUAAUGAGAAAGUGUGUCCGAUGCAAGCACCUGAAAGCAGCUCUCUGCAGUCUUCUGUGCCCCUGAGCUGGUGAAGGUUGUCACUCAGGCUUGCCACUGGAGCUCUUCUGGCUGCUCUUGAGGGUCUUCCUUUUCUGAGAACAGAAACACAGAUUGUGUGCUGAUGUUCCCCAGAGCACCUAGAGUCACUGUGCCCUGGCCUGUGUAAACGUCCAGGCUUUGAGGUGUCUGCACAGCUGUCCAGUGCCAUCCUGACUGCUGGGCUUCUGGAGGUGUUUGGCGUUGAGCAGUGCCUAUAAGCCUGUGCUGGCUGGAUCCAGAGCACAGGAUGCUGCAGGUUCCCUCAGGGACAGCUUCCUUGUAGCUGCUUACUUCCAGCUCUGCACUGAGCUCUGUUCCACCACCCAGCUUUUCAGCCAUGCUUUGAGAAGAGCCAGCAAAGCCCUCCACGAGGAUGAUGGUGGUCAGAGAAAGAGUGGAACACUGCUGUGGCUGAACUCCUGCUGGGUCUGAGCAGUCUCUGUGUGCUCAGGGUGAAGAGCUUCUACAAAAUCCUGUCAUCCCAGCAGGGUGCAAAGGCCUCCAGUUCGUGGCGCUCCCAGCGACUGCAGCUGGAUGAGUCACUGCUGUUAUGACAGAGGGACUGCAAUCCUUGUGCCUUUCCAGUCUGGUUUGGACAGAAUUUUAUUCUGUAGGACACCUUUGUUCGAUCUGCUCUGUGUCCUCCUGUGUCACCAAAGGCCCUCUCACUGACUCCAGCUCACCCCCGGAGCUCGUGCUCUGCUCUGCAGGCAGCGCUGGUUUGGGCUAUUGGUAAAGCAUGUGGUGAGAAGUCUUUGCUUUGAUCCCAUCUCCUGGGAGGACAGCACUGAGUGGUUCAGCUCAUCAUCUAUGGAGGCAGGAGAGAAUCUGAAAU